GUCUAUGGCCAUACCACCCUGAACGCACCCGAUCUCAUCUGAUCUCGGAAAAUAAGCAGGGUCAGGCCUGAUUAGUACUUGGAUGGAAGACUUUUCUUAUGACCUAGAAUAUUGUCU
rnacentral:rRNA from 1 species